AGCCAGACUCCUACGGGAGGCAGCAGUGGGGAAUAUUGCACAAUGGGUGAAACCCUGAUGCAGCAACGCCGCGUGAAGGAAGACGGUUUUCGGAUUGUAAACUUCUGUUCUUAGUGAAGAAGAAUGACGGUAGCUAAGGAGCAAGCCACGGCUAACUACGUGCCAGCAGCCGCGGUAAUACGUAGGUGGCAAGCGUUGUCCGGAAUUACUGGGUGUAAAGGGCGUGUAGCCGGGCCGGCAAGUCAGAUGUGAAAUCCCAAGGCUCAACCUUGGAACUGCAUUUGAAACUGUUGGUCUUGAGUAUCGGAGAGGCAGGCGGAAUUCCUAGUGUAGCGGUGAAAUGCGUAGAUAUCAGGAGGAACACCGGCGGCGAAGGCGGCCUGCUGGACCGUGACUGACGUUGAGGCUCGAGAGCGUGGGGAGCAAACAGGAUUAGAUACCCCAGUA
rnacentral:rRNA from 1 species